AAAACAAGCCGUCUUAUCGCUGCAAAAUAAGUUUUGUGGAGGAAAGUCCGGGCAACACAGGGCAGCAUGCUUCCUAACGGGAAGGCAGUGAUGCUGAAAAGCAUGGCUGACAGCCAGUGCCACAGAAAAAAUACCGCUUCCUCCUUAAGCCAUUGGUGCACCAACAAUUGCCGAUGACUCAGGGAGGAAGUAAGGGUGAAAAGGCGGUGUAAGAGACCACCGUUUGGGCAGUGAUGACCAAAGCCAGGUAAACCUCAUGCGUUGAAAGACCAAAUAUGCCGACGUUUCAGCUUCGGCUGAUGUAAGGCUGCCCGUCUGAGUCGGUGGGUAGGUCGUUAGACCCAAAGCGUGAGUUUUGGGCAAGAUAAAUGAUAAGACCUUGCUGCAAAGCAUUGACAGAACCCGGCUUACAGGCUUGUUUUUCUU
rnacentral:RNase_P_RNA from 1 species